GACAGAAACAAAAUCAACUCUAAGGCUGUUAGCCUAUGGGAUACAGACUAAACAUACUGGGAAUCAGAGGGAGAAAACAAAAUAUUUCAUGGAUGAGGAAACUAAGAUCUACAGAGACUCUUGACCAAUGCUUCACAAAUGGAAAAUGAAGCCAAGGACUCAAAGACGUCUCCCUACAACAUUGCUGCCUCUGUAAAAUACAUGCAUUGGGUCCGGUGAACGAAAAUGGAACACUCAUGAACACGUUACUGGACAUCAAGUUGUUAAAAAUAUACAUUCAAGCUAAAACUGAAAUGGGAGAAAUUGUCAGUGAUGCUACAGGGAAAGCGUCAUGUCACUGCAGGAAAGGAUUAACUUAUUUUCAAAUCUACAUAAAGGCAAAGCAUCAAGAAGAGUCAAGACAAUCUUGAAGGACAAGACUAGAAAACUUACACUACCGUAAUUCAGAUUUACUAUAAUUAGCACUGUAUUAUAUUGGCACAAGGAUAGAAAUUAAGAUCAAUGGGA